UACGAACCGUCCAAACGUUAUUCGGAAUCACUGGGCUUAAAGGGUGCGUAGGCGGCCCGGGAAGUUGGGUGUGAAAUCCCUCGGCUUAACCGAGGAAUUGCGCUCAAAACUGCCGGGCUUGAGGGAGACAGAGGUGAGCGGAACUUAGGGUGGAGCGGUGAAAUGCGUUGAUAUCCUAAGGAACACCGGGGGCGAAAGCGGCUCACUGGGUCUUUUCUGACGCUGAGGCACGAAAGCUAGGGGAG
rnacentral:rRNA from 1 species